rnacentral:tRNA from 1 species
AAGAGAGUAGGUAAUAGGAAUAGCUGCUAACUAAUUCUUAAAGCGGUUUAACUCCGUUUUUCUCUUU